UACCCUUUCAUUCUUUCUUUCUUGUGCCGCCACCCUCUUCUGCCCACACGACCACACCUCUAUUCAUUUUCCUGCCCUUUUUAUUCAUUUACCAAAUAUCGCAAUUUGCACGAGAAUUAUAAAAAUUUUCUUUAUCUCAAUUCCAGAAACCGUAGACCACCCACCAUUGAGGCUUCGCCACCGCGUAUUUACCGCUACUAUGGUUCCACUCUUGUCACCGACCAUUCUCCGGCACCAGCAAAUCAAGUGAGUGAAUCCUAUCGAGAGAUAUUACAUAUCUAUAUCUGUCGAAAAGGAAAAGAAAGACAAUUUCUUCCUUAUAAAACACAAUCUCUUUGUAUAUCGUGGAACUAUUUUUUAGGAUUUAUAUAUGUUUAGUUUAAGAAUUUCUGGAUGAGUUUAUUGGCAUUUGAUUAGACGCUUCAUAACCCUAAUUUUAGUCGUCGUUGAUUAUUUAAUCUGAUGAUUUUGAUGGUACCCUUAUAUAGCAGUUUUGGUAUGUUGUAUUGAAUAAUUUUUGGGAAUUGCUCUAAUGGACAGAAAUCAUUGAAGUAUCAGAUGCCAUGGAUGUUUCAGAUGCAGUGAUAGUGAAAUCCAGCAGAUUAAAAUCUUUAGUAUGGAAUGAUUUUGAUAGGGUGAAAAAGGGUGAUACAUUUGUAGCUGUUUGUAGACAUUGUAAGAAAAAACUUAGUGGAUCAAGUACUAGUGGAACCUCUCAUUUGAGGAACCAUUUAAUUAGGUGUCAGAGAAGAACUAAUCAUGGCAUUACUCAAUAUACUAAUCACGGCGUUGGUCAAUAUUUUACGCCUAGGGAAAAGAAAAAGGAAGGAGCUCUUGCCCUUGCCAAUACAGACAUUGAUCAGGAGCAAAGAAGGGAUGAACCACUUAUAGUUGUGAAUUAUAAAUUUGACCAGGGGCUGGUGAAAGAUGAAGCUGUUACUCUUGCAAGAAGUAACUUUGAUCAAAGGCGAAGUCAAUUUGAUAUAGCCCGCAUGAUUAUUCUACAUGGGUAUCCAAUACAAAUGGUUGAGCAUGCUGGGUUCAGGAUUUUUGUUAAGAAUCUACAGCCGUUGUUUGAGCUUGUAACAUCUGACAGAGUGGAGGCUGACUGUGUGGAUAUCUAUUUACAAGAGAAACAGAAGGUUUAUGAGCUACUAGAUAAAUUAUCUGGGAAGAUCAGCCUUAGUGCCAAUACGUGGUCUGCAGAAGACAAUGCUCAAUACUUGUGUUUGGCAGCAAACUAUGUUGAUGAAGCUUGGCAAUUAAAGAAGAAAAUAUUGAAUUUCAUUUUGGUUGAUCCAACUCAUACUGAUGACGUGCAUUCGGAAGUCAUUAUGUCAUGUCUGAUGGAUUGGGAUAUAGACCGCAAGCUGUUUUCAAUGACAUUUGAUAGUCAUUCUGCCAAUGACAACGUUGUCCAUAGAAUUAGAGAUCGAUUAUCUCAGAAUAGGUUCCUCUACUGUAAUGGUAUGCUAUUUGAUGUACGAUGUGCUGCAAAUCUUCUCAAUCUGAUGGUUCAUGAUGCAUUGGAGGCACUCUCUGAGGUGACACAAAAGAUUAGGGAAAGCAUUCGUUAUGUUAGAAGCUCACAAGUAACUCUAAUGAAGUUCAAUGAGAUAGCUCUACAAGGGGGAAUUGAGAGUCAGAAGUGCUUAUGUCUCGACAAUCUAUUGCAAUGGGACUCAACAUACUCUAUGCUUGAAGUUGCCUUGGAGUACAGGUGGGCAUUUUCUCUUCUUCAGGCGCAAGACCCUGCCUAUGCAUCAUGUCCAACUGAUUUAGAGUGGGACAGGGCGAGGACCAUUACAAGCUAUUUGAAACACUUUGUUGAAGUUACUAAUGUUUUUGUGAAGAACAAGUAUCCAACUUCAAACAUAUACUUCCCUGAGAUUUGUGAUAUUCACUUGCAGUUAAUUGAAUGGUGCAAGAACUCAGAUGACUUUAUUCGUUCUACAGUGAUGAAGAUGAAAAACAAGUUUGAUGAGUAUUGGGAAAAAUGUAGUUUUGCUUUAGCAGUUGCAGCCAUGUUAGAUCCUCGAUUCAAGCUAAAGUUGAUAGAGUAUUACUAUCAACAACUAUUUGGUACUGGUUCUGGAGAGUUAAUAGAUGAAGUUUUUGAGUAUAUAAAGGCACUGUAUAAUGAACAUUCAAUUGGCUCUCCAUUAGCUUCUUUUGACCAAGGUCUGACUUGUCAAGUUAGUGGUAGCACCGGCAGCUUGCCUGGUACUGGUACUGGUCGGGAUUGCAAGGAUAGACUGACUGGAUUUGACAAGUUUCUCCAUGAAACCAAUCAGAGUCAAGGUGCAAAAUCAGAUUUGGAUAAGUAUUUGGAAGAACCUCUCUUUCCUCGAAGUGUUGACUUCAACAUAUUAAAUUGGUGGAAAGUUCACACUCCAAGAUAUCCUAUUCUAGCUAUGAUGGCACGGAAUAUUUUGGGAAUUCCCAUGUCAAAAGUUACACCAGAGUUUGCUUUUAGCAAUGGAGGGAGGGCGCUUGAUCGGGAAUGGAGUUCCCUGCGACCAACCACCAUUCAAGCUUUGAUGUGUUCACAAAAUUGGAUGGGCGAAGUAGAUAAAUGAUGCUUUUUCAUCAUUAUUCUCUAAGUUUGUUUAAAUAUAUUUUUUAAUCUAUCCAUAAUCUGGUAGCAUUAACCAUUCUCCCCCAUGCUUUUUUGCAGAUUAGAUAAUCAACUGAACCUCUGAUAUUUUCAACUGGUAUAUGUGUUAAUACUACAUUUUCCGAGAAUUUCUGGAUUAUGAUUUAUAUAAUGAUUUGAUUAUUCCUAGUCAUAUUCUGGAGGUUAAACUGCAGGCGGCAUGUUUAUAUUAAGGGCAGGUCCAGCGAAUUCUUUGAAUUUGACUUGUAAAUAGCCUUCUAAUAUAUUGAAGUGAAGGUUCCACUAAAUUUUUGUAAAGCAAUGAAAGAAUCUAAAAGCUGCUCCUA